GAUGAACGCUGGCGGCGCGCCUAACACAUGCAAGUCGAACGGCACUUAUCUUCGGAUAGAAGCGAGUGGCGAACGGCUGAGUAACACGUGGAGAACCUGCCCCCUCCCCCGGGAUAGCCGCCCGAAAGGACGGGUAAUACCGGAUACCCCGGGGUGCCGCAUGGCGCCCCGGCUAAAGCCCCGACGGGAGGGGAUGGCUCCGCGGCCCAUCAGGUAGACGGCGGGGUGACGGCCCACCGUGCCGACAACGGGUAGCCGGGUUGAGAGACCGACCGGCCAGAUUGGGACUGAGACACGGCCCAGACUCCUACGGGAGGCAGCAGUGGGGAAUCUUGCGCAAUGGGGGGAACCCUGACGCAGCGACGCCGCGUGCGGGACGGAGGCCUUCGGGUCGUAAACCGCUUUCAGCAGGGAAGAGUCAAGACUGUACCUGCAGAAGAAG
rnacentral:rRNA from 1 species